rnacentral:rRNA from 1 species
AGUGAACGCUGGCGGUAGGCCUAACACAUGCAAGUCGAACGGCAGCACAGUAAGAGCUUGCUCUUGCGGGUGGCGAGUGGCGGACGGGUGAGGAAUACAUCGGAAUCUACUUUUUCGUGGGGGAUAACGUAGGGAAACUUACGCUAAUACCGCAUACGACCUACGGGUGAAAGCAGGGGAUCUUCGGACCUUGCGCGAUUGAAUGAGCCGAUGUCGGAUUUGCUAGUUGGCGGGGUAAAGGCCCACCAAGGCGACGAUCCGUAGCUGGUCUGAGAGGAUGAUCAGCCACACUGGAACUGAGACACGGUCCAGACUCCUACGGGAGGCAGCAGUGGGGAAUAUUGGACAAUGGGCGCAAGCCUGAUCCAGCCAUACCGCGUGGGUGAAGAAGUCCUUCGGGUUGUAAAGCCCUUUUGUUGGGAAAGAAAAGCAGCAGGUUAAUACCCCGCUGUUCUGACGGUACCCAAAGAAUAAGCACCGGCUAACUUCGUG